GAACGGUGAAGCCAAGCUUGCUUGGUGGAUCAGUGGCGAACGGGUGAGUAACACGUGAGCAACCUGCCCUGGACUCUGGGAUAAGCGCUGGAAACGGUGUCUAAUACUGGAUAUGAGGCGUGAUCGCAUGGUCAUGUUUGGAAAGAUUUUUCGGUCUGGGAUGGGCUCGCGGCCUAUCAGCUUGUUGGUGAGGUAAUGGCUCACCAAGGCGUCGACGGGUAGCCGGCCUGAGAGGGUGACCGGCCACACUGGGACUGAGACACGGCCCAGACUCCUACGGGAGGCAGCAGUGGGGAAUAUUGCACAAUGGGCGCAAGUCUGAUGCAGCAACGCCGCGGGAGGGAUGACGGCCUUCGGGUUGUAAACCUCUUUUAGCAGGAAAGAAGCGUGAGUGACGGUCCCUGCAGAAAAAGCGCCGCCUAACUACGCGCCAGCAGCCGCGGUAAUACGUAGGCCGCAAGCGUAAUCCGGAAUUAUUGGGCGUAAAGAGCUCGUAGCCGGUUUGUCGCGUCUGCUGUGAAAUCCCGAGGCUCACCCUCGGGCCUGCAGUGGGUACGGACAGACUAG
rnacentral:rRNA from 1 species